rnacentral:rRNA from 1 species
GACAGAGGGUGCAAACGUUGUUCGGAAUUACUGGGCGUAAAGCGCGUGUAGGCGGCUCGGAAAGUCGGAUGUGAAAGCCCAGGGCUCAACCCUGGAAGUGCACUCGAAACUCCCGAGCUGGAGUCCCGGAGAGGAAGGCGGAAUUCUCGGUGUAGAGGUGAAAUUCGUAGAUAUCGAGAGGAACACCUGUGGCGAAGGUGGCCUUCUGGACGGUGACUGACGCUGAGACGCGAAAGCGUGGGGAGCAAACAGG